GGCAUAGGCUAAAAUCUAUACAAUUAAUAUUAACAAUGCACCAACAAAUUAUGCAGCGCUGUGCAAUGGGUCAAGUAUUUGUAACCAGAUGAGCUGGACUCACAGGAACAGUGCCCUGCUCAAUGAGCUUACCUUAUAGAGGGUUGCACUACACCUUACAGGCGGUCUUAAGGGCGUAGAGGGAAGAGGCCACAAGCAGCACCCACUAUUCACGUACACAACCACUACGUUGCAGGCCUUUUCGGUCAUGAUCUGAUACCAUUAUUUUUCUAGUAUUUAUUAUUGCAAAAAAAAAAAAAAGGAGUGAUUGCU